AGAGAGAGACAUGCGCGCAUAUCAAUAAGCGGAGGAAAAGAAACUAACUAGGAUUCCCUCAGUAACGGCGAGUGAAGCGGGAAGAGCUCAAAUUUGAAAUCUUCAAGGUUUUACCUUGACGAAUUGUAGUUUAAAGAAGUGUUUUCUGUUGGAGUUUUGGUAAAAGUUCUUUGAAAUAGGACAUCAUAGAGGGUGAGAAUCCCGUAUUUGACCAUCUCUUCCAGCUGUGUGGUACACUUUCAAAGAGUCGGAUUGUUUGGGAAUGCAGUCCAAAAUGGGUGGUAAAUUUCAUCUAAAGCUAAAUAUUGGCGAGAGACCGAUAGCGAACAAGUACCGUGAGGGAAAGAUGAAAAGAACUUUGAAAAGAGAGUUAAACAGUACGUGAAAUUGUCAAAAGGGAAGCGUUUGACACCAGUGUUGUUUUCUCGAAAAUCAAUUAAGAAUGUUUUAUUUUUGAGGAGUUAUGACUUCAUCGGCUUGCUCCUUUCUUUAUGGAACUUUCUUAAUGCACUUUUCGGUUAACAAGUCAACAUCAAUUUCUUUUGUUGUAAAAGAGUAUGAGGAAGGUGGCUUCCUUUUCGGAGAAAGUGUUUAUAGCCUUGUACUUCUGCAAUCGGAGAGAUUGAGGUCUGCAGCGUAGAUCCUUCGGGGUUAGAUGCAUUUGUGCUAAGCUAUAGCCUUUCAUAGACAACUUGUUGACUAUGUAUUAGUCAUUGUAGCUUACUCGCUUAUGCUAUUUUACCUACGCUUAGGAUGUUGACAGCAGUAUAGACUGU
rnacentral:rRNA from 1 species